GAAAGCGAGGGAGAGAGGGAGAAAGACAGGGGACAGCGUCCUAUAAUGAGCCAGUAUCACAGUGACAACAGACAAGACACUUCCAGCACAGAGCUGGAGGCUGAAGGCAGAAAGCCAUGCUUUCAAAUCCGGAAGGAGAUCCUUUACAACCUAGAAUUCUGUAUGCAGAGGCCACACUUGGAGCUGUGUGGGUCUGAUGGUUAAUGUUGAUUUCCAACUUGAAGUAUCUGGAAUAAGCUAAGAGGCAAGCCCUGAGCAGCCACAUCCUUCACCCAUGUCAGAACCCAGCGUCUCCAGGCCUGACAUAGACUGAAGACCAGUGGCUCUCCAGGAAUCUUUCAGUCCUUCCCCACCUGACUGAGACUACUGAGGCAUCCAGCUUCAUGGAGAGAGGAGCUACUCCACCUCACCCCCUCCAGACAGCCACUGUUGGAUCAACUCCUAUUGGUUGUAAGCCACUCUAGUAAAACCUCCUUCUAA